AGCGGCGAAAGGGAUAGUAACACGUAGAUCACGUGCCCUCGGGUCAGGGAUAGCGUCGGGAAACUGACGGUAAUACCAGAUAAUGUCUCCGGACCAAAGAUUUAUUGCCCGAGGAGCGGUCUGCGUCCUAUUAGCUAGUUGGUGGGGUAAUAGCCUACCAAGGCGAAGAUGGGUAGCGGGUGUGAGAGCACGACCCGCAUCACUGGGACUGAGAUACUGCCCAGACACCUACGGGUGGCUGCAGUCGAGAAUCUUCCGCAAUGGACGAAAGUCUGACGGAGCGACGCCGCGUGCGGGAUGAAGGCCCUCGGGUUGUAAACCGCUGUCGUAGGGGAGCAAAUUUUGAGCGAUCCUAGGAGGAAGCACCGGCUAAACUCGUGCCAGCAGCCGCGGUAAUACGAGUGGUGCAAACGUUAUUCGGAAUCACUGGGCUUAAAGGGUGCGUAGGCGGCCAUGAAGGUCUGAUGUGAAAUACCACGGCUCAACCGUGGAUUGGCAUUGGAAACCACAUGGCUGGAGUGAGACAGAGGUGAGCGGAACAGAUGGUGGAGCGGUGAAAUGCGUUGAUAUCAUCUGGAACACCGGUGGCGAAAGCGGCUCACUGGGUCUUUACUGACGCUGAGGCACGAAAGCCAGGGGAGCAAACGGGAUUAGAUACCCCGGUAGUCCUGGCUGUAAACGAUGAGUACUAGUCCGAGGG
rnacentral:rRNA from 1 species